rnacentral:rRNA from 1 species
CAGGGAUUGCCUCAGUAACGGCGAGUGAAGCGGCAACAGCUCAAAUUUGAAAUCUGACCCCCCCCCGGGGCCCGAGUUGUAAUUUGCAGAGGGUGCUUCGGGCGCGGCGCCGGUCUAAGUUCCUUGGAACAGGACGUCGUAGAGGGUGAGAAUCCCGUAUGCGACCGGCGGCCAAGCCCGUGUGAAGCCCCUUCGACGAGUCGAGUUGUUUGGGAAUGCAGCUCAAAACGGGUGGUAAAUUUCAUCUAAGGCUAAAUACCGGCCAGAGACCGAUAGCGGACAAGUAGAGUGAUCGAAAGAUGAAAAGCACUUUGGAAAGAGAGUCAAACAGUACGUGAAAUUGUUGAAAGGGAAGCGCUUGCGAUCAGACCGGUCCGGGGGCGAUCAGCCGCGGCUCGUCCGCGGUGCACUCGCCCUCGAUCCGGCCAGCAUCGGUCUGGGCGGCGGGAGAAAAGUCCCGGGAACGUAGCUCCUCUCGGGGAGUCUUAUAGCCCGGGUCGCCAUGCCGCCCGCCCGGACCGAGGACCGCGCUUCGGCUAGGAUGCUGGCGUAAUGGUCGCAAGCGACCCGUCUUGAAACACGGACCAAGGAGUCUAACAUCUAUGCGAGUGUUUGGGUGUCAAACCCGGGCGCGGAAUGAAAGUGAACGGAGGUGGGAACCCGUCGCACGGCGCACCAUCGACCGAUCCAAAUGUCUUCGGAUGGAUUUUAGUACGAGCAUAGCUGUUGGGACCCGAAAGAUGGUGAACUAUGCCCGGAUAGGGUGAAGCCAGAGGAAACUCUGGUGGAGGCUCGCAGCGGUUCUGACGUGCAAAUCGAUCGUCAAAUCUAGGCAUAGGGGCGAAAGACCAAUCGAACCAUCUAG